UUUUAUGGAUGAGCAAAGAAAGUGGUUUCUUGAGAUGGAACUUACUCCUGGUGAAGAUGCUGUGAA
rnacentral:pre_miRNA from 1 species